rnacentral:tRNA from 1 species
GGGUAGCUCGGUUGGUAGAGUGCUUGCCUUGCAUGCACAAGGCCCUGGGUUCAAUCCCCAGCACCACCA